rnacentral:rRNA from 1 species
UGGGGAAUCUUGCACAAUGGGGGAAACCCUGAUGCAGCGACGCCGCGUGAGCGAUGAAGGUUUUCGAAUCGUAAAGCUCUGUCCUAUGGGAAGAUAAUGACGGUACCAUAGGAGGAAGCCCCGGCUAACUACGUGCCAGCAGCCGCGGUAAUACGUAGGGGGCGAGCGUUGUCCGGAAUUACUGGGCGUAAAGGGUUCGCAGGCGGCAUGACAAGUCCGAUGUAAAAGGCGAAAGGUCAACUUUCGUAAGCAUCGGAAACUGUCAAGCUUGAGUGAAGGAGAGGCAAGUGGAAUUCCGAGGGUAGCGGUGGAAUGCGUAGAUAUUAGGAGGAAUACCGGUGGCGAAGGCGACUUGCUGGACUUCAACUGACGCUGAGGAACGAAAGCGUGGGUAGCAAACAGG